rnacentral:rRNA from 1 species
CCUACGGGGUGCAGCAGUGGGGAAUAUUGGGCAAUGGAGGCAACUCUGACCCAGCAAUGCCGCGUGAGUGAUGAAGGUAAUUUUAUUGUAAAGCUCUUUUCUUUGGAACGAAUAAAUGACGGUACCAAAGGAAGAAGCGACGGCUAAAUACGUGUCAGCCGCAGGGGUAAUGAGUAGGGGGCAAGUGUGGGUCGGAAUGACUGGGCGUAAAGGGUGUGUAGGUGGUUUGAUAAGUUAGAUGUGUAAUACCCAGGGCUUAACUCGGGUGCUGCAUCUAAAACUGUUAGACGUGAGUACUGGAGAGGAUAGUGGAAUUCCUAGUGUAGCGGUGGAAUGCGUAGAUAUUAGGAGGAACAUCAGUGGCGAAGGCGACUAUCUGGACAGCAACUGACAC